rnacentral:lncRNA from 1 species
GCUCUACUUGCGGACUUGGAGGAGCCGUGGCCGAAGCUACAUGAGGUCCAGGUAUUGGCAAGAAUUGAAGAACUAUGUUGGCCUGACUUUUCACCGAUGUCUGUGAAUAAAAUAUCGAUUAGAUGAGUAUUAUAUUGUUGAUGAUAAUUAUGUUACGUUAUAAAUAAAUAUGUAGAUGAGUAUUAGGAACUUAUAAUUGCAAAAUUUACACACGUCUGAGCUUCCCAUGUAUCGAAAGCCUUUGUAAAUAUGUUUUUGCGGAUGUAAAAUGGAAUAUUAGAAGGACCAGUCGGAUCGAUGUAGAACUUCACUCUACCACACCCCCAUCUUGCACAAAAAGGAGUGAAGUCGCCAUUGACUGCACUACAGGUUUGUCCAGAUGAUGUUGUUAUGGAUGCGAGGAGGAAGAAACCAAGGAAGACAAGAUAUGACAUGGUGAAUUAAUGACUAGAAUUUAGUUUCAAGCUUUGGGAAAUUGUGUUGUGUUUAAACUCAUCAUACACACCCAUAUUUAUACAACUUUUUUACAAUGUGAAUUUAAUGAGUUGAGUAUAAAAUAUAGCCAUGUUCAAUGUAUAUUAAAACUUUUAUAAAAUUCAAAUGUAUCUGAGGAUCGUAUUAAAAAGAAUAUGUACGAUGAAUAAUUUGUGGACAUGCAUAUAUAUAUUUUCGUAACACAACUUCAAUCCGCAUAAAGUUAACGAUCUUAUCUUAAAAAAAUUGGUUGUAUUUUAAAUACAUAUUAUAAUUAUGUUUAUUAUACAAAAUUAAGUUAAAUUUUAUUAUAUUUUAAGCAAAAUAAAUUACAAUUUAAUUAUAUACUAUUUUCUGAUAAAAUCGAAAAAAUAUCUCUUCUGACUCUUCUUGUUGAAAAAAAAUGUAGUUAAUGUUGACCAUUUCCCAAGUACUUUUCACUUGUAAUAAAUUUAUGAUCGAUACAUAUUUUCGUGUUCAAAUUAUUUUAUUUCAACACCACAAAAUAUAUGUGGACAAACUUUACUAAUGAUUUUAUCCUAAAAUAUUUGAUUAUAUUUUAAAUAUAUAUUCUAAUUCUAUUUAUUAUAUAUACACAAUUUCUCGUACAUUUGUAAGUUGACUUUUAUUAUAUUUAAAGCAAAAUAAAUUACAAUUUAAUUAUAUACUAUUUUCUGAUAAAAUCGAAAAAAAUAUCUCUUUUGACUGCACUACAGGUUUGUCCGGAUGAUGUUGUUAUGGAUGCGAGGAGAAGAAACCAAGGAAGAUAAGAUAUGACAUGGUGAAUUAAUGACAAGAAUUUAGUUUCAAGCUUUGGGAAAU